rnacentral:rRNA from 1 species
GGAAGGCAGCAGGCGCGCAAAUUACCCAAUCCCGAUACGGGGAGGUAGUGACAAUAAAUACUGAUACGGGGCUCUUUUGGGUCUCGUAAUUGGAAUGAGAACAAUUUAAAUCCCUUAACGAGGAACAAUUGGAGGGCAAGUCUGGUGCCAGCAGCCGCGGUAAUUCCAGCUCCAAUAGCGUAUAUUAAAGUUGUUGCAGUUAAAAAGCUCGUAGUUGAACCUUGGGUCUGGCUGGCCGGUCCGCCUCACCGCGAGUACUGGUCCGGCUGGACCUUUCCUUCUGGGGAACCUCAUGGCCUUCACUGGCUGUGGGGGGAACCAGGACUUUUACUGUGAAAAAAUUAGAGUGUUCAAAGCAGGCCUUUGCUCGAAUACAUUAGCAUGGAAUAAUAGAAUAGGACGUGUGGUUCUAUUUUGUUGGUUUCUAGGACCGCCGUAAUGAUUAAUAGGGAUAGUCGGGGGCGUCAGUAUUCAGCUGUCAGAGGUGAAAUUCUUGGAUUUGCUGAAGACUAACUACUGCGAAAGCAUUCGCCAAGGAUGUUUUCAUUAAUCAGGGAACGAAAGUUAGGGGAUCGAAGACGAUCAGAUACCGUCGUAGUCUUAACCAUAAACUAUGCCGACUAGGGAUCGGACGGGAUUCUAUAAUGACCCGUUCGGCACCUUACGAGAAAUCAAAGUUUUUGGGUUCUGGGGGGAGUAUGGUCGCAAGGCUGAAACUU